AUGACCAUUACUCUGAAAAACAGAGAGAAAAGAAAACCAAAAACCAUUUCUUGGCUGGUUUGAAGAAAUUCUAAGAAGAUCCAAGUGAAUCAAAGCCAAAGAAGUGGAUUAAGCUUAGUUCUAGCCUUUUUAUGAUAUUUCUUGGUGGUUUCCAAGUGGUUUGAGGUUUAGAAAAGCUAGAAGAGAUUGUUUUCGCCGAAAAGUUGCUCGGAUAAACACAUCAACACCUAAGACACCACUUGUUACACAGUGAAUUAUAUUUUAGACAGAAGGUAGAGAAAGAAAUGAGUGAAUGACAUAAGGAGAACUGAAGCAUGGUCCUUACCCUGAUUUGUACAUAUGAACAUAUCGACCUUUCUGUGGGUUAUUUCAGUUAUCAGUGUGAUAUUUGUAAUAAAGUGUGAAGUUAUGUUUUGAAAACAAAUUGGGUUAUUUAAUACUUAUGUAUAAUAUGUUUGAGACACACUUUAUGUUUAAUGUAAAUAAUGUGAAAUAAGUUUUUAAGUUUUAAA